rnacentral:rRNA from 1 species
GAUGAACGCUAGCGGGAGGCCUAACACAUGCAAGCCGAGCGGUAUUGUUUCUUCGGAAAUGAGAGAGCGGCGUACGGGUGCGGAACACGUGUGCAACCUGCCUUUAUCUGGGGGAUAGCCUUUCGAAAGGAAGAUUAAUACUCCAUAAUAUAUUGAACGGCAUCGUUUAAUAUUGAAAGUUCCGGCGGAUAGAGAUGGGCACGCGCAAGAUUAGCUAGUUGGUGAGGUAACGGCUCACCAAGGCGAUGAUCUUUAGGGGGCCUGAGAGGGUGAUCCCCCACACUGGUACUGAGACACGGACCAGACUCCUACGGGAGGCAGCAGUGAGGAAUAUUGGUCAAUGGGUGCAAGCCUGAACCAGCUAUCCCGCGUGAAGGACGACUGCCCUAUGGGUUGUAAACUUCUUUUGUAUAGGGAUAAACCUACCCUCGUGAGGGUAGCUGAAGGUACUAUACGAAUAAGCACCGGCUAACUCCGUGCCAGCAGCAGCCGCCGUAA